rnacentral:rRNA from 1 species
AUGAACGCUAGCGGGAGGCCUAAUACAUGCAAGUCGAACGGUAACAGGGUAGCAAUACCGCUGACGAGUGGCGCACGGGUGAGUAACACGUACACAAUCUGCCUUAUACUGGAGCAUACCCCCAAGAAAUUGGGACUAAUUCUCCAUAAUAUAUAGAAGAGGCAUCUCUUUCAUAUUAAAACUCAGGUGGUAUAAGAUGAGUGUGCGUCUGAUUAGCUAGUUGGUGAGGUAACGGCUCACCAAGGCAACGAUCAGUAACUGGUCUGAGAGGAUGAUCAGUCACACGGACACUGAGACACGGGUCCGACUCCUACGGGAGGCAGCAGUAGGGAAUAUUGGACAAUGGGCGCAAGCCUGAUCCAGCCAUCCCGCGUGAAGGAUUAAGGCCCUCUGGGUUGUAAACUUCUUUUUUGGGGGAAUAAAAACCGGGAUUUAUCCUGGCUUGAAGGUACCCCAAGAAUAAGCACCGGCUAACUCCGU